GCGGCCGCCCUGCUGGGCUCCGGGCGCUGCAGCUCCCGGCGGGCGUCUGCAGCCCGCAGGUUCAGGACGACCCGGCUGCCAGGCUCAGCGCCUUGGGAGCUCCGCGCUGAAGGGGCCUUGCUCCGCACAGGCACGGCACGCACGCUUUUGGGGUGCCCAGCGGCUCUGUUUUCAAGUCACAGCCGGCCCGCAGGAGGCUUCGUGACGGAGUUAUCAGAGACAUUGAGAGGCAAAUUCGGAAAAAAGAAAACAUUCGUCUUUUGGGAGAACAGAUUAUUUUGACUGAGCAACUUGAAGCAGAAAGAGAGAAGAUGUUAUCGGCAAAAGGAUCUCAAAAAUCAUGACUUGAAUGUGAAAUAUCUGUUGGACAGACAACACGAGUUUGUGUGUGUGUUGAUGGAGAGUAGCUUAGUAGUAUCUUCAUCUUUUUUUUGAUCACUGUCCUUUUAAACUUGAUCAAAUAAAGGACAGUGGGUCAUAUAUUGUAAAUUACUGCUUUCAGGGUCCCUUAUAUCUGAAUAAAGGAGUGUGGGCA
rnacentral:sRNA from 1 species